ACUCCGUACUGGAAGUAGGAGGAGAGUCGGGACUCCCAGGACAGGGAGUGCACAAACUAUCCAGCACAGCCCCCUCCGCCCCCUUUGGAGGCUGAAGAGGGAUUCCAGCCUCUGCCACCCACAGACAGGGGCUGACUGGGGUGUCUGCCCCCCUUGGGGGGGCAGCACAGGGCCUCAGGCCUGGGUGCCGCCUGGCACCUAGAAGAUGCCUGUGCCCUGGUUCUUGCUGUCCUUGGCACUGGGCCGAAGCCCAGUGGUCCUUUCUCUGGAGAGGCUUGUGGGGCCUCAGGACGCUACCCACUGCUCUCCGGGCCUCUCCUGCCACCUCUGGGGUGCCACCAAAUUCUGGGCUUGGAACAGCUUCAGCUCCCACCCACCCCUCCACACACAGACAGUGACAUACUCUGCCUGCCUGGGGACAUCAUGCCUGCUCCGGGCCCCGUGCUGGCGCCUACACAUCUGCAGACAGAGCUGGUGCUGAGGUGCCACAAGGAGGCCGACUGUGACCUCUGUGUGCGUGUGGCUGUCCACUUGGCCGUGCAUGGGCACUGGGAAGAGCCUGAAGAUGAGGAAAAGUUUGGAGGAGCAGCUGACCCAGGGGUGGAGGAGCCUAGGAAUGCCUCUCUCCAGGCCCAAGUCGUGCUCUCCUUCCAGGCCUACCCUACUGCCCGCUGUGUCCUGCUGGAGGUGCAAGUGCCUGCUGCCCUUGUGCAGUUUGGUCAGUCUGUGGGCUCUGUGGUAUAUGACUGCUUCGAGGCUGCCCUAGGGAGUGAGGUACGAAUCUGGUCCUAUACUCAGCCCAGGUACGAGAAGGAACUCAACCUCACACAGCAGCUGCCUGCCCUGCCCUGGCUCAACGUGUCAGCAGAUGGUGACAACGUGCAUCUUGUUCUGAAUGUCUCUGAGGAGCAGCACUUCGGCCUCUCCCUGUACUGGAAUCAGGUCCAGGGCCCCCCAAAACCCCGGUGGCACAAAAACCUGGUGAGGCCUCCCCCUUCCCAAGUCCAUUCCCACUGUAGGCCGAUGCCUGUGCAAAGGACGCAGUGCCUUAUCAAAGAAGACCCUUGAAGAGGACUCACCCCAAGCAAGGGAACACUGACUGGACCGCAAAUCAUUACCUUGAACCACACAGACCUGGUUCCCUGCCUCUGUAUUCAGGUGUGGCCUCUGGAACCUGACUCCGUUAGGACGAACAUCUGCCCCUUCAGGGAGGACCCCCGCGCACACCGGAACCUCUGGCGAGCCGCCCGCCUGCGACUGCUGACCCUGCAGAGCUGGCUGCUGGACGCACCGUGCUCGCUGCCCGCAGAAGCGGCACUGUGCUGGCGGGCUCCGGGUGGGGACCCCUGCCAGCCACUGGUCCCACCGCUUUCCUGGGAGAAUGUCACUGUGGAUAAGGUUCUCGAGUUCCCAUUGCUGAAAGGCCACCCUAACCUCUGUGUUCAGCAGGUGAACAGCUGGGAGAAGCUGCAGCUGCAGGAGUGCUUGUGGGCUGCUAUGGGAUGAUGACUUGGGAGCGCUAUGGGCCUGCCCCAUGGACAAAUACAUCCACAAGCGCUGGGCCCUCGUGUGGCUGGCCUGCCUACUCUUUGCCGCUGCGCUUUCCCUCAUCCUCCUUCUCAAAAAGGAUCAUGCGAAAGAGUGGCUGAGGCUCUUGAAACAGGACGUCCGGUCGGGGGCGGCCGCCAGAAGCCGCGCGGCUCUGCUCCUCUACUCAGCCGAUGACUCGGGCUUCGAGCGCCUGGUUGGCGCCCUGGCGUCGGCGCUGUGCCAGCUGCCGCUGCGCGUAGCCGUAGACCUGUGGAGCCGUCGUGAACUGAGCGCGCAGGGGCCCGUGGCUUGGUUCCACGCGCAGCGGCGCCAGACCCUGCAGGAGGGAGGCGUGGUGGUCUUGCUCUUCUCGCCUGGUGCGGUGGCGCUGUGCAGCGAGUGGCUACAGGACGGGGUGUCCGCGCCCGGGGCGCACGGCCCGCACGACGCCUUCCGCGCCUCGCUCAGCUGCGUGCUGCCCGACUUCUUGCAGGGCCGUGCGCCCGGCAGCUACGUGGGGGCCUGCUUCGACAGGCUGCUCCACCCGGACGCCGUACCCGCCCUUUUCCGCACCGUGCCCGUCUUCACACUGCCCUCCCAACUGCCGGACUUCCUGGGGGCCCUGCAGCAGCCCCGCGCCGCGCGUUCCGGGCGGCUCCAAGAGAGGGCGGAGCAAGUGUCCCGGGCCCUUCAGCCAGCCCUGGAUAGCUACUUCCAUCCCCCGGGGACUCCCGCGCCGGGACGUGGGGUGGGACCUGGGGCGGGGGACGGGACUUAAAUAAAGGCAGACGCUGUUUUUCUA
rnacentral:sRNA from 1 species